rnacentral:rRNA from 1 species
CCAUGCAUAGUGGCAGAGCUCGUAGUUGAAUUCACGGUUGUUAGAAUAUAAUUAGCACAAAUGUUAAUUUAAUUCGCAAUCUUUUUUCUAGAGGUUUUACUCAGUACUUAAAUGGACGAGUAAAGUGUCUAGAUCGUUUACUUUGAGAAAAUUGGAGUGUCAAAGCAGGCCUACGCAUCUGCACAAUAUAGCAUGGAAUAAUAAAAUAGGACUUUGGUCUAUCUUGUGGACAAGGCCGAGUAAGAGAAUAGGACAGUGGCGCUCGAUUAAUCUCAGACGGAAUCCUGGUUUUAAAGCUCCUCCCCCGAACCCUUU